rnacentral:rRNA from 1 species
UUUUAUUUGAGAGUUUGAUCCUGGCUCAGGAUGAACGCUGGCGGCGUGCCUAACACAUGCAAGUUGAGCGAUUUACUUCGGUAAAGAGCGGCGGACGGGUGAGUAACGCGUGGGUAACCUACCCUGUACACACGGAUAACAUACCGAAAGGUAUGCUAAUACGGGAUAAUAUAUUUGAGAGGCAUCUCUUGAAUAUCAAAGGUGAGCCAGUACAGGAUGGACCCGCGUCUGAUUAGCUAGUUGGUAAGGUAACGGCUUACCAAGGCGACGAUCAGUAGCCGACCUGAGAGGGUGAUCGGCCACAUUGGAACUGAGACACGGUCCAAACUCCUACGGGAGGCAGCAGUGGGGAAUAUUGCCCAAUGGGCGAAAGCCUGAUGCAGCAACGCCGCGUGAGUGAUGAAGGCCUUCGGGUCGUAAAACUCUGUC